rnacentral:lncRNA from 1 species
AUGGAUUAUUAUUCCAGUCGUGUACACUUCGAUGGCUGGCUCCUGCUUACACAUACAAAGAGAGUCCUAAAGAGCUUUGACAACCAAAAUCGAAAGGAAAAAAAGAUUCUCCUUAAGAAGAUAAAAAAACUCCAACGGCUCGAGGCAGAACUGGAAAGAAGAAAUGCAAAAAGAGUCCUAAUGAGGACGGGCAUAAGAGAGAAGCCCAUCUAUUAGAACUAUUCUCAUUACAUCACAUGAAGCGGCACAAAGACCUGUUACAGUGGAGGGAAAGAAGAGAGGGAGAUGAGCAUUGUUUGAACCUUACUGUCAUCAAAUUUGACUCAAGAAGGGAAUAACAUAGGUUUAGAAAUCUAACUUGUCUAAUAUGCAGUAGGAGGGGAAAGAAAAGGGAGGGGGAUGGAAGGGACGGAAGAAGUAGUAAAGGAAAAAGGAAAGAAAAGGGAGGGAGCUGAUAGAAGGGGGGGCAGAUCGAGGGAGGCGGUGGUCAAAAGCAAAACUCUGGUGAAGAGGGAAAGGGAGAAACGAGAAAGAAAAGCAUAAAGGGGCAGGGAAUGGGAUGGAGAGAAAGACACUGAUAGUAAUCAUAACUGUGAAUGACAUGAACUCUCCCAUAAAUGGAAGUGGAUAGCAGAAUACCAAAUUAGAAACACUGAAAACCAGAGGAGAGAUUAAUAAAGUUGAAAUUAAGAAAACUAUUGAACUAAUA